rnacentral:rRNA from 1 species
GACGAACGCUGGCGGCGUGCUUAACACAUGCAAGUCGAACGGAAAGGCCCUGCUUUUGUGGGGUGCUCGAGUGGCGAACGGGUGAGUAACACGUGAGUAACCUGCCCUUGACUUUGGGAUAACUUCAGGAAACUGGGGCUAAUACCGGAUAGGAGCUCCUGCUGCAUGGUGGGGGUUGGAAAGUUUCGGCGGUUGGGGAUGGACUCGCGGCUUAUCAGCUUGUUGGUGGGGUAGUGGCUUACCAAGGCUUUGACGGGUAGCCGGCCUGAGAGGGUGACCGGCCACAUUGGGAUUGAGAUACGGCCCAGACUCCUACGGGAGGCAGCAGUGGGGAAUAUUGCACAAAGGGCGGAAGCCUGAUGCAGCAACGCCGCGUGCGGGAUGACGGCCUUCGGGUUGUAAACCGCUUUCGCCUGUGACGAAGCGUGAGUGACGGUAAUGGGUAAAGAAGCACCGGCUAACUACGUG